GACGAACCGUGCGAACGUUGUUCGGAUUCACUGGGCUUAAAGGGCGCGUAGGCGGGUCAGCAAGUCCGGGGUGAAAGCUUUCGGCUCAACCGGAAAAGGGCCUUGGAUACUGCUGGUCUGGAGGAAGGUAGGGGCGUGUGGAACUUCCGGUGGAGCGGUGAAAUGCGUAGAUAUCGGAAGGAACGCCGGUGGCGAAAGCGACACGCUGGACCUUUUCUGACGCUGAGGCGCGAAAGCCAGGGGAGCAAACAGG
rnacentral:rRNA from 1 species